rnacentral:sRNA from 1 species
AACUCCUUUAACAACAGUCCCGUGAGGCUGUGAAGGUUGUCUAAGAAAACGUUGCACCUUACUAUAGGUGUACGAUAAUGGCUACCUUUAAGGUAGCCAUUUUUUUAUAU